rnacentral:rRNA from 1 species
UACGUAGGGUGCAAGCGUUGUCCGGAAUUAUUGGGCGUAAAGAGCUCGUAGGCGGCUUGUCGCGUCGACCGUGAAAACUUGGGGCUCAACCCCAAGCCUGCGGUCGAUACGGGCAGGCUCGAGUUCGGUAGGGGAGACUGGAGUUCCUGGUGUAGCGGUGAAAUGCGCAGAUAUCAGGAGGAACACCGGUGGCGAAGGCGGGUCUCUGGGCCGAUACUGACGCUGAGGAGCGAAAGCGUGGGGAGCGAACAGG